UUUAUGGAUGUUUAUGCUUUGUCUCACACCUGCAAAACAAAUCUCACUUCCAGAGGCAAAUGACCUGAGACACAUCAAAUGAAGUUUAUCAACCACCGCCUGAUGGAAAGGGACCUUGGUAUACUGAUGGACAGUCGGUUGAAUAUGAGCCAGCAGUGUGCCCAGGUGACCUUCUUGGCUCCAAUGGCAUCCUGGCUUGUAUCAGGAAUGGUGUGGUGAGCAGGACAAGUCAUCCUGCCCCUGUACUUGGCAUUGGUGAGGCCUCACCUUGAGUACUGUGUUCAGUUUUGGGCACCUCAGUGCAAAAAGGACGUAGAGGUGCUGGAGUAGGUCCAAAGAAGGGCUACAAGGCUUGUGAAGGGCUUGGAGAAUAUGCCCUACGAGGAGCGACUGAAGGAACUGGGGCUGUUUAGUCUGGGGAAAAGGAGACUGACGAGAGACCUUAUUGCUCUCUUCCAGUACCUGAAGGGUGAUUGCAGCGAGAGAGGGGUUGGUCUCUUCUCACUGCUGACAGGUGACCGGAUGCGGGGAAAUGGCCUUAAGUUGCGCCAGGGUAAGUUUAGUUUGGAUAUCCAGAAAAACUUCUUUACAGAGAGGUUGGUUAAGCACUGGAAUAGGCUCCCUAGGGAGGUGGUUGAGUCACCAUCCCUGGAUGUGUUUAAAAACCAUUUGUAUGUGGUGCUCAGGGACGUGAUUUAGUGGAGGGUUGUUAGAGUUAGGGUAGUAUGGUUAGGUCAUGGUUGGAGUUGAUGAUCUUUGAGGUCUUUUCCAACCUGAGCAAUUCUAUGAUUCUAUGAUUGUAUUACAGUAACAGGUAAAUUGGUUAAAAAUAUGUUUUCAAAAUGCUUUGGACCUUUUUCUUUCUGAGUAUUUCAAAAAGGCCAUAUAUACCAUCUAAUAGCCUGCACCAGACUCCAACAAAUUAACAGAAAGACUCCCAUUCAUUUUAAUGAGGGCUGAGUCUGUUCUGUGGCUGUACUAAUUUAAGUCAGCUAUAAAUGAACUCCGUGGUUUUUAAAAUAAAUGGCACAAUAUUAACAGGAAUUAACAUGUGUUCAGUAAUACUUUAUUUUUCUUUUAUUAUUGACUUGACAUCUUUUUUCAUUCCCACCAGACAAGUGGAAGAGCUGUAGCAGAAUAAUGUGGAAUCCCUUAAGAAAAUAUAAAAUCCUGUCUCGAGAGUCCUGACCAUAUUCCCAAGUCCAGGUGAUGGCAGAGUGCCAAUCUAAACUCUCUUCUGGAGCUGACACAUUAUGAUGCUUCACAGUGGGUUACGAUCAGCUGUCUCCUAGCUUAAAGACUUACAGCAGCUCUGAAAUGUGCCACCAGUCA
rnacentral:lncRNA from 1 species